rnacentral:piRNA from 1 species
UGGGAACGAGAAGACCCUCAUGUAGGAGUC